UUAUGGCUCAGGAUGAACGCUGGCGGCGUGCUUAACACAUGCAAGUCGAACGGAGUUUAGAGAGCUUGCUCUUAAACUUAGUGGCGGACGGGUGAGUAACGCGUGGGUAACCUGCCUUUCACUGGGGGAUAACAGUUAGAAAUGACUGCUAAUACCGCAUAAGCGCACAGGUUCGCAUGAACUAGUGUGAAAAACUCCGGUGGUGAAAGAUGGACCCGCGUCUGAUUAGCUAGUUGGUGAGGUAACGGCCCACCAAGGCGACGAUCAGUAGCCGGCCUGAGAGGGUGAACGGCCACAUUGGGACUGAGACACGGCCCAAACUCCUACGGGAGGCAGCAGUGGGGAAUAUUGCACAAUGGGGGAAACCCUGAUGCCAGCGACGCCGCGUGAGUGAAGAAGUAUUUCGGUAUGUAAAGCUCUAUCAGCAGGGAAGAAAAUGACGGUACCUGACCAAGAAGCCCCGGCUAACUACGUGCCAGCCGCAGC
rnacentral:rRNA from 1 species